rnacentral:rRNA from 1 species
GAGUUUGAUCUUGGCUCAGAUUGAACGCUGGCGGCAUGCCUUACACAUGCAAGUCGAAUGGCAGCACGGGAGCUUGCUCCUGGGUGGCGAGUGGCGAACGGGUGAGUAAUGCAUCGGAACGUAUCCUGGAGUGGGGGAUAACGUAGCGAAAGUUACGCUAAUACCGCAUAUUCUGUGAGCAGGAAAGCGGGGGACCUUCGGGCCCCGCGCUCUUGGAGCGGCCGAUGUCGGAUUAGCUAGUUGGUGAGGUAAAGGCUCACCAAGGCGACGAUCCGUAGCAGGUCUGAGAGGAUGAUCUGCCACACUGGAACUGAGACACGGUCCAGACUCCUACGGGAGGCAGCAGUGGGGAAUUUUGGACAAUGGGGGCAACCCUGAUCCAGCCAUGCCGCGUGAGUGAAGAAGGCC